UAUUAAAAAUUUCAUCUAUUUCUAUUGUUAAAAAUUGAUAUAGUUGAUGGAAUAACUAAAAAUUACACGUUGUGCUUACGUAUAAAGACCAAUUUUUAACAAUAAAAAUGAAUGGAAUUUUUAAUU
rfam:Gossypium raimondii Chr07_contig_21, whole genome shotgun sequence.